rnacentral:miRNA from 1 species
GCGGGUGGCCCCGCAGUGCAUUGCUGUUGUAUUGCAUGUCUGUGAAGCGGGUGCAGUUCCUCGGCAAUGCAGCCCGGAGUUGGCCCCUAGCACCA